rnacentral:rRNA from 1 species
AUUGAACGCUGGCGGCAUGCCUUACACAUGCAAGUCGAACGGCAGCACGGGUGCUUGCACCUGGUGGCGAGUGGCGAACGGGUGAGUAAUAUAUCGGAACGUGCCUUAGAGUGGGGGAUAACUAGUCGAAAGAUUAGCUAAUACCGCAUACGAUCUACGGAUGAAAGUGGGGGAUCGCAAGACCUCAUGCUCUUAGAGCGGCCGAUAUCUGAUUAGCUAGUUGGUGGGGUAAAAGCCUACCAAGGCGACGGUCAGUAGCUGGUCUGAGAGGACGACCAGCCACACUGGGACUGGGACACGGCCCAGACUCCUACGGGAGGCAGCAGUGGGGAAUUUUGGACAAUGGGGGCAACCCUGAUCCAGCAAUGCCGCGUGAGUGAAGAAGGCCUUCGGGUUGUAAAGCUCUUUUGUCAGGAAAGAAAUCCUAUUCGCUAAUACCGAGUGGGGAUGACGGUACCUGAAGAAUAAGCGCCGGCUAACUACGUGCCAGCAGCCGCCGUAA